AACGAACGCUGGCGGCAGGCCUAACACAUGCAAGUCGAACGCCCUAGCAAUAGGGAGUGGCAGACGGGUGAGUAACGCGUGGGAACGUACCCUUCGGUUCGGAAUAACUCAGGGAAACUUGAGCUAAUACCGGAUACGUGCGAGAGCAGAAAGAUUUAUCGCCGAAGGAUCGGCCCGCGUCCGAUUAGCUAGUUGGUGAGGUAAUAGCUCACCAAGGCGACGAUCGGUAGCUGGUCUGAGAGGAUGACCAGCCACACUGGGACUGAGACACGGCCCAGACUCCUACGGGAGGCAGCAGUGGGGAAUAUUGGACAAUGGGCGCAAGCCUGAUCCAGCCAUGCCGCGUGAGUGAUGAAGGCCCUAGGGUUGUAAAGCUCUUUCGCCAGGGACGAUAAUGACGGUACCUGGAUAAGAAGCCCCGGCUAACUUCGUGCCAGCCGCCGCGGUAA
rnacentral:rRNA from 1 species